GCUGUAUCGGAGAGGGUUCCUGGCACCGUGAUUUGAUGCAAAAACAGAAACCAAAAUCACAUUGCCAGGGAUUUCCACUCUGUUACAG
ensembl:miRNA mir23a-1 microRNA 23a